ACACUGAAGACAAACUUUCCCGGACAAAUGACGAAAGACAAACACAAACACAAAGGUGUGUGUAAAUGUAUGCUUAAUGUUAACCUGAGGGAAGAUGGAAAUUUGGAAUGAAUGACUGGAUGCGUGCGAGAUGACAAGGCCCUUCGUCACUAGCAGCGUACCGAGAGGAAAAGGAAGGGCAGGUGGAAGUGGUGAAGGAGGAGGUUCUGGCACUGGAUUCUCGUCUACAGAUGUACUGAACACCCUCUUGUUUGGGAGCCUCCAACUGAUUGCCUAAAAUUCUGUGGUCAAAGGGGAAACACAGCAUCAAAUGGUUUGGUCCUGAUCUGUUCCUUCAGCUCCAUCAAGAGAGUGUUUGGACACACUACAUUAGCACAGUACAGGUGCCUGAUAUUCCCCACCCUCCCCUGGAUGAUUCACAGGUGUACCUUAUCCAUGCACGUCUGACCUUUUUGAAUAUUAAACAAUAAUAAAAAUGCAGAAUAAGCUCCUCCCAGGAAAAGAAGACUCUUGGUCUGCAGCUUAUUUAAAGUUUAAAUAAGCCACAAUAAGCUUACUCAGACUGUAAAAGAUGCUGGGUUCCACACAAUUCAAGUGGAUUGAACAUAAAAUAAUUAAGUUG